rnacentral:rRNA from 1 species
GACGAACGCUGGCGGCGUGCUUAACACAUGCAAGUCGAACGGUGAAGCGCCUUCCUUUUUGGUGGGUGUGGAUGAGUGGCGAACGGGUGAGUAACACGUGAGUAACCUGCCCCCUUCUUCUGGAUAACCGCAUGAAAGUGUGGCUAAUACGGGAUAUUCUGGGUCUGUCGCAUGAUGGGUCUGGGAAAGAUAUUGUUUCGGUGGGGGAUGGGCUCGCGGCCUAUCAGCUUGUUGGUGGGGUGAUGGCCUACCAAGGCGGUGACGGGUAGCCGGCCUGAGAGGGUGGACGGUCACACUGGGACUGAGACACGGCCCAGACUCCUACGGGAGGCAGCAGUGGGGAAUAUUGCACAAUGCGCGCAAGCCUGAUGCAGCGACGCCGCGUGAGGGAUGGAGGCCUUCGGGUUGUGAACCUCUUUCGCCAGUGAAGCAGGCCUGCCUCGUUUGUGGGUGGGUUGACGGUAGCUGGAGAAGAAGCGCCGGCUAACUACGUG